rnacentral:lncRNA from 1 species
CUCAAAGGAGAAGGCUUUAGCCUCUGGGGACAGAAGUGUCAGGCAGCUGCUUAAGGCUCAAACCAUUCAUAGUUUGUGUAACUUCCUAUUACCUAAGUAUAUGAGAAAUCAAAUUUGAUGGAUGCCUUACAGGUGACAUUUACCCCAGAUUAUUUUCCCAACUUCCUCUGAAUUCUAAAACCACCCCCACUCCCAUUAUUGGUUCAUUCUGGAACUCCCCUCAGCUUCUGGGGUCUCCUCCCCCUGGAAUAGCUUACCAUCCCUCAAGACCUCUCACCAUGGAAUGAAUAUCUCUCCAUAAAGCCUAUUUUCGCCUUUCCCAUCAGUGAGUUCCUCUUGGAGCCUACAUUUUGUAGAAGGGCCCAGACUAGCAUCCCUCCAUUCUCUUCCCAGUCCUGUUCUUUACAUCCUUUGGAUUUCAAAGCCAGACCUUCUACCAGGAAAAAUCUAAUCCUUCUGCCAUAUGGCAGUGCCCACAACAUGGCAGAAUUUAAGCAAAAGGAAAAAUCAAGUCAAGCAAUAAUUGGAGCUCUAGAGAGAUUCUGGAUACUCAGUUUUCUUCAAGUAUAAAAUGAGGAUAAGAGGAGAACUUUAAUUAUCACGAGGAGAAUAAUGCCUUUUCCAAGGACAUUGACCUUCACAGGGUAGGAUUCCUCCCUACAUGCUUUCUUGCAACAACCACUAAAAUCUCUUUCAGAGGUACAAGGUGUACCUGUCCCUGUGGGACAACUGAACCCACAGAACUACUAUCUUCCACACUGUCACACCCUGCUGCCCUCUGUGCCCACCUCCACAUGAAUGUGCCCCAGGUGCACUUUCAGCAAGUUCUGGCUGUGAAUAACAUUGCCCUAGGCACUUCACAGGGCAAGUGUUCUGUACACUCUAAAGCUCUGUAACCAUCUAUUGUUAUCAAACAUUUUAUGCGUCACUACCUGUGCAAGGCAUUGAGGGAAGAGAAAAUGAAUAAAGCACAGUCUCUGUAUCUAGGCA